UACGUAGGCAGCGAGCGUUGUUCGGAGUUACUGGGCGUAAAGGGUGUGUAGGCGGUUGUUUAAGUUUGGUGUGAAAUCUCCCGGCUCAACUGGGAGGGUGCGCCGAAUACUGAAUGACUUCGAGUGCGGGAGAGGAGAGUGGAAUUCCCGGUGUAGCGGUGAAAUGCGCAGAUAUCAGGAGGAACACCGGUGGCGAAGGCGGGUCUCUGGGCAGUUACUGACGCUGAGGAGCGAAAGCGUGGGGAGCGAACAGG
rnacentral:rRNA from 1 species